AGCGAACGUUAGCGGCGGGCCUAACACAUGCAAGUCGAGCGAGAAAGGGGGCAACCCCGAGUACAGCGGCGGACGGGUGAGGAACACGUAGGUAAUCUGCCCCACGGUGGAGGACAACGGUCCGAAAGGACCGCUAAUACUGCAUACGUUCACCGGGUCCUCGGACCUGGUGAGGAAAGCCUCGCAAGGGGCGCCGAGGGAGGAGCCUGCGUCGCAUCAGCUAGUUGGUGGGGUAAUGGCCUACCAAGGCGAAGACGCGUAGCUGGUCUGAGAGGAUGAUCAGCCACACUGGGACUGAGACACGGUCCAGACUCCUACGGGAGGCAGCAGUGAGGAAUAUUGCGCAAUGGGGGCAACCCUGACGCAGCAACGCCGCGUGAGUGAGGAAGGUUUUCGGAUCGUAAACCUCUGUUGUACGGGAAGAAGGAAUUGACGGUACCGUACGAGUAAGCCCCGGCAAACUACGUGCCAGCAGCCGCGGUAAACUCGUACUCUA
rnacentral:rRNA from 1 species